rnacentral:rRNA from 1 species
UAGCUAGUUGGUGAGGUAAAGGCUUACCAAGGCGACGAUCUGUAGCGGGUCUGAGAGGAUGAUCCGCCACACUGGAACUGAGACACGGUCCAGACUCCUACGGGAGGCAGCAGUGGGGAAUUUUGGACAAUGGGGGCAACCCUGAUCCAGCCAUGCCGCGUGAGUGAAGAAGGCCUUCGGGUUGUAAAGCUCUUUCGGCCGGGAAGAAAUCGCAUGGGCCAAUACCCUGUGUGGAUGACGGUACCGGAAUAAGAAGCACCGGCUAACUACGUGCCAGCAGCCGCGGUAAUACGUAGGGUGCGAGCGUUAAUCGGAAUUACUGGGCGUAAAGCGUGCGCAGGCGGUUUUGUAAGACAGGCGUGAAAUCCCCGGGCUUAACCUGGGAACUGCGUUUGUGACUGCAAGGCUAGAGUACGGCAGAGGGGGGUGGAAUUCCACGUGUAGCAGUGAAAUGCGUAGAGAUGUGGAGGAACACCAAUGGCGAAGGCAGCCCCCUGGGUCGAUACUGACGCUCAUGCACGAAAGCGUGGGUAGCAAACAGGAUUAGAUACCCUGGUAGUCCACGCCCUAAACUAUGUCAACUAGGUGUUGGGUGGGUAAAACCAUUUAGUACCGUAGCUAACGCGUGAAGUUGACCGCCUGGGGAGUACGGCCGCAAGGUUAAAACUCAAAGGAAUUGACGGGGACCCGCACAAGCGGUGGAUGAUGUGGAUUAAUUCGAUGCAACGCGAAGAACCUUACCUACCCUUGACAUGCCAGGAACUUGCCAGAGAUGGCUUGGUGCCCGAAAGGGAGCCUGGACACAGGUGCUGCAUGGCUGUCGUCAGCUCGUGUCGUGAGAUGUUGGGUUAAGUCCCGCAACGAGCGCAACCCUUGUCGUUAAUUGCCAUCAUUUAGUUGGGCACUUUAACGAGACUGCCGGUGACAAACCGGAGGAAGGUGGGGAUGACGUCAAGUCCUCAUGGCCCUUAUGGGUAGGGCUUCACACGUCAUACAAUGGUCGGUACAAAGGGUUGCCAAGCCGCGAGGCGGAGCCAAUCCCAGAAAGCCGAUCGUAGUCCGGAUUGCAGGCUGCAACUCGCCUGCAUGAAGUCGGAAUCGCUAGUAAUCGUGGAUCAGCAUGUCACGGUGAAUACGUUCCCGGGUCUUGUACACACCGCCCGUCACACCAUGGGAGCGGGUUCCGCCAGAAGUAGGUAGCCUAACCGCAAGGGGGGCGCUUACCACGGCGGGGUUCGUGACUGGGGUGAAGUCGUAACAAGGUAGCCGUAGGGGAACCUGCGGCUG